AGAUUUUGGCUAAUCAAGCUUUAUUUAAAUGCAUUUCAAUUACAAAUAUAUUAUUUACUUUGAUUAAUUCUAUUAGUAGAACAAACAAUGUAUUUUUGUAUUAACAUAAAUAAUCCAGAAAUAAUUUAGAUUAUAAAUUUUUAAAAGUAUUGUUUUUCCUUUUAAACUUUAUGCUAAUAUCGUGUAUAUCGAAACGAAAAUGAUACACACAGGAGGUGCUUAAAAUUGAUAAAUUAAAUAUUAGACGAAAAUGAUACACACAGGUCACACGAGGUGCUUAAAAUCGAUAAUUAAAUAUUAGACGAAACUACACAAAUCCAAACUCCAGAAGUACUAGUAACAAUUAUUAUCAAUAUUUUCUGAGUGUAAAAAAGGGAAGAAAAUGGCCCUCACUCAAAGGUGUGAAGGCAAAACUGCAACGUCUUUCAACCCUAAAAGUCCGCACAAUUCCGGAAACAACGAUUUCCUUAUCUCUGCAUACACUUUACCAUCCCAACGCUUUUUCCCCAGCUCCUCCGCCAGUCGCACCGCCGCAUCCACCGUCUCCUCCGCCGUACCAUGCGCCGAAUCCACCAUCCCCAUCCUCACUGCCUCCUCUCCCCUAAUCUUCGCCGUUUUCAACACCAAAUCCCGCCGAGCACCUGCCGAUCCAAUCUUAGACCUUAUCAUAGCCAAGAAAUAAUCCGCCAAAGUCAUUUCAAUUUUUCGAAAAAUGAAAAGAGUGCUUGCUUAAACGUGCAGCUGCAGCAUUUUAAUAAAUUCAAAUUAUUAAAUUUAUAUUCUUUGACUAACUUCAAACUCCAAAUAAUGAUAACAUUUUGGGUGGUCAAUAAACAAUUUGUUCAUUAUCUCUUUUUCUUUUUCCUAACAACAACACAAAAUGAAAAUGAUUAUUUAUAAGAAGGAAAUUUGAACAUAAUAAUCGUUUGAUAUUAUAAAAAUAGAAUGGUUCAACUAUAUAUUAUGUAUGUCACCAAGAAUUCUCGGUAAAGAAUUCUAUGUUUUAAUUGUGUGUAGGGGUGUUCACGGUUUGGAUAAAAAUCGAUCCAAACCGAAAAAUCAAACCAAAUCGAUAAAAUAAAACCAAUUUUAUUUGGGUUUGGUUUGAUUUGGUUUUAGGUUUUUGAAAAUCGACAGUAUUUGGUUUGGUUAUGGUUUUAUUUGAAAAAAAACGAAUAAAUAAUCGAACCAAAUCGAUGAAUUAUAUAUAUAUAUAUUUUAUUAAUAUACAUACUUAAUAUAUUGUUUUUAUAAACAAUUUUAAAGAUCUUAUACAUAUUUUCAUUAAAAUUUCUUUAUAACGUACUUAUUGAAAAGCAAAAAUUCCCAAGAUGAAACAUUUAUUUUAUUGAUUUCAUGUAUAUGAGUGUCUAUGACAAUUCUUUGUGGGACUGAAAAUGUUAUUUUCUCUUCCUUCUAGACCAAUAUAGUGAAUUUUAAAGCUUUAUUGAUAGUAAAUUUAGUGAUCGAAAGUUCAGUAAUUUAAGUCAUUCUAAUUAUUUUUCGUUUUGAAUGGAUUGUUGUCACUUUUAUCACAUUUUAAAUGAAUUGUUUCUUUUAUUUUUGUGUAUGGUUAAUAACCGAAUAAUCGAACCAAACCAAAUCGAAAUCGAUAAUCACCAAACCGAUAAAUGUAUAUUAUAUUUGGUUUGGUUUGGUUUUGAUAAUUUUAAAAUUGAUUAAGUUGGUUUGAUUUUUGAUUUUGACCAAUAACCGAUCCAAAUCAACCCGUGAACACCCCUAGUGUAUGAUAUAUAAUGAAUAAAAAGUUUAAUUAAUUACACAAAAUGCUCUUAUGGUAUUACUUAAUUACGAAUAGCUCCUACAUAUUUAAAAUCAAAUAUUUACGUCCCUUAUAUUAUAAAAGUUCUAUAUUUGUUCCGACCAUCGGUUCCUCUGUUACUGUCUAUUUAGUGUAGAUUUAGUUUUGUUUCUUAUUUAGUGUGUAGAAUUGGAUGUGGGUUUCUUUUGGACCCAUGUCUUUUGCUUUUUGUCCAAUUUUAUAUUCUUAAUAAAAGGGCAAUGCCCGAUUUAACUUUAAAAAAAAAAAAAUGCAUUUCAAUUACAAAUAUAUUAUUUACUUUGAUUAAUUCUAUUAGCAGAACAAACAAUGUAUUUUUGUAUUAACAUAAAUAAUCCAGAAAUAAUUUAGAUUAUAAAUUUUUAAAAGUAUUGUUUUCCUUUUAAACUUUAUGCUAAUAUCGUGUAUAUCGAAACGAAAAUGAUAAACACAGGAGGUGCUGAAAAUUGAUAAUUAAAUAUUAGACGAAAAUGAUACACACAGGUCACACGAGGUGCUUAAAAUCGAUAAUUAAAUAUUAGACGAAACUACACAAAUCCAAACUCCAGAAGUACUAGUAACAAUUAUUAUCAAUAUUUUCUGAGUGUAAAAAAGGGAAGAAAAUGGCCCUCACUCAAAGGUGUGAAGGCAAAACUGCAACGUCUUUCAACCCUAAAAGUCCGCACAAUUCCGGAAACAACGAUUUCCUUAUCUCUGCAUACACUUUACCAUCCCAACGCUUUUUCCCCAGCUCCUCCGCCAGUCGCACCGCCGCAUCCACCGUCUCCUCCGCC
rnacentral:lncRNA from 1 species